AUAACGUAGCGAAAGUUACGCUAAUACCGCAUAUUCUGUGCGCAGGAAAGCAGGGGAUCGCAAGACCUUGCGCUGAUUGAGCGGCCGAUAUCAGAUUAGCUAGUUGGUGGGGUAAAGGCCUACCAAGGCGACGAUCUGUAGCGGGUCUGAGAGGAUGAUCCGCCACACUGGAACUGAGACACGGUCCAGACUCCUACGGGAGGCAGCAGUGGGAAUUUUGGACAAUGGGGCAACCCUGAUCCAGCCAUGCCGCGUGAGUGAAGAAGGCCUUCGGGUUGUAAAGCUCUUUCGGCCGGGAAGAAAUCGUAUGGGUUAAUACCCUGUGCGGAUGACGGUACCGGCAUAAGAAGCACCGGCUAACUACGUG
rnacentral:rRNA from 1 species